rnacentral:rRNA from 1 species
CCCUUAGAUGUACUGGGCUGCACGCGCGCUACACUGAAGCUAUCAACACGUUUUCCCUCCCUGAGAAGGGCGGGUAACCUUUUGAAUCAGCUUCGUGGUAGGGAUCGGGGCUUGCAAUUGUUCCCCGUGAACCAGGAAUUCCUAGUAGACGCGAGUCAUAAGCUCGCAUCGAUUAAGUCCCUGCCCUUUGUACACACCGCCCGUCGCUACUACCGAUUGAACGUUUUAGUGAGGCAUUUGGACCGACGCAUCUCAGUUUAACCGCUGGUUUGUGUUGGAAAGACUUCCAAACUUGAGCGUUUAGAGGAAGUAAAAGUCGUAACA